rnacentral:rRNA from 1 species
UACAGAGGGGGGCAAGCGUUGCUCGGAAUUACUGGGCGUAAAGGGCGCGUAGGCGGGAUGGCAAGUCGGUCGUGAAAUCCCUCGGCUCAACCGAGGAACGUCGAUCGAUACUGCUGUUCUUGAGGAUUGCAGAGGAGACUGGAAUUCCCGGUGUAGCGGUGAAAUGUGUAGAGAUCGGGAGGAACACCGGUGGCGAAGGCGGGGUCUCUGGG